rnacentral:rRNA from 1 species
GAUGAACGCUGGCGGCGUGCCUAAUACAUGCAAGUCGAGCGAACGGACGAGAAGCUUGCUUCUCUGAUGUUAGCGGCGGACGGGUGAGUAACACGUGGAUAACCUACCUAUAAGACUGGGAUAACUUCGGGAAACCGGAGCUAAUACCGGAUAAUAUUUUGAACCGCAUGGUUCAAAAGUGAAAGACGGUCUUGCUGUCACUUAUAGAUGGAUACGCGCUGCAUUAGCUAGUUGGUAAGGUAACGGCUUACCAAGGCAACGAUGCAUAGCCGACCUGAGAGAGUGAUCGGCCACACUGGAACUGAGACACGGUCCAGACUCCUACGGGAGGCAGCAGUAGGGAAUCUUCCGCAAUGGGCGAAAGCCUGACGGAGCAACGCCGCGUGAGUGAUGAAGGUCUUCGGAUCGUAAAACUCUGUUAUUAGGGAAGAACAUAUGUGUAAGUAACUGUGCACAUCUUGACGGUACCUAAUCAGAAAGCCACGGCUAACUACGUG